GGCCGAGUGGCGGAAUGGCAGACGCUGGGGACUUAAAAUCCCCUGCCCGUAAUGGGCGUGUGGGUUCGACUCCCACCUCGGCUA
rnacentral:tRNA from 1 species